GUUUUUCUCUCCGCAUCCCCCAUGCCCUGGGACUAACAUGAGGCACACCCUUAACAGAAACUUUCAGCAGAGCACAAGAGCCAUGACCCAGUGGUUCUGCAGUUCACAUCGUCACCCCAGGAGCCUCAGAUGGAGGACCCAGGAACAUACCAGGAGAUGCUUCUGACAGGGCAUGUAAUGCUCUGCUGCAGUUGGCAUGGCCUUCCUCCAUAACUUCAGGGACUUCUACCAUGAUUCUCCCACUGGAUCUUGCCAUAAGCUCCACACUGUAUCUUACCUUGCCCCUGACAUCUCGACCAUCAUAGGGCCUGGCAGAUCCUAUCACUCAGACAGCGGGACUGAUUGCU
rnacentral:lncRNA from 1 species